UCAAACUUGGUCAUUUAGAGGAAGUAAAAGUCGUAACAAGGUCUCCGUUGGUGAACCAGCGGAGGGAUCAUUACCGAGUCCUCGACGCUCAGACCCUGCCGCGAACCCGAGACGGUUGCUUCGGCGGGCCCCCCCGGCCUCGGGGCCGCCCGCCGGAGGUCCCAGUCCCCAGGCCCUGCAGCGGCGCGCCACGCCGCGACACAGCCCUCUGAAUUACGCUUCCGCGAACUAGUCAAAACUUUCAACAACGGAUCUCUUGGUUCCGGCAUCGAUGAAGAACGCAGC
rnacentral:misc_RNA from 1 species